AUGUCGGUGUUGCUGUUACCACCAGGGCCGUGUCAGUGUCACCACCGGGUCCGUGCCAGUGCUGGUGUCACCGCCGGGGCUGUGUCGCUGUCACCACCAGGGCUGUGCUGGUGUCACCGUGCCAGUGUCACCGUGCCAGUGUCACCGUGCCAGUGUCGCUGUCACUGUCACUGCCGGGGCUGUGCCGGUGUCACCAUGCCGGUGUCAGUGCCAGUGUCGCUGUCACCGUGCCGGUGUCACCGUGCUGGUGUCGCUGUCCCCGCCGGGGCCAUGUCGCUGUCACCGUGCUGGUGUCGCUGUCACUGUGCCGGUGUCACCGUGCCGGUGUCGCUGUCCCCGCUGGGGCCGUGUCGCUGUCACCGUGACGGUGUCGCUGUCACCGUGCAGGUGUCACUGUCGCUGUCACCGCCAGGCCGCUGUUGCUGUCACCGUGCCAGUGUCACCAUGCCAGUGUCACUGUCGCUGUCACCGUGCCGGUGUCGCUGUCGCUGUCACCGUGCCGGUGUUGCUGUCACCGUGCCGGUGUCACUGUGCCGGUGUAGCUGUCACUGUGCCGGUGUUUCUGUGCCACUGUCACUGUCACCAUGCCAGUGUCACCGUGCCGGUGUCAGUGUCACCGUGUCGCUGUCACCGUGCCGGUGUCUCCGUGCCGGUGUCUCUGUCGCUGUCACCGUGCCGGUGUCACCGUGCCGGUGCCGCUGUCCCUGUCACUGUGUCGCUGUCACUGUGCCGGUGUCACUGUCGCUGUCACCGCCGGGCCGCUGUCGCCCUCUGCCGCCGCCCGGCCGCCACUGCAGGUGUCGCGGGGCGCUCGGGCUGUCCCGCGGGGGGAGAAGCGGGUUGAACAUCCCGGUGGAGGCGGGAAGGAAGCGGCGUCAGAGCCGAGGAACGGAGGGUUCGGCACCGGAGAAGCUUCUCGGCCCGAGCUGGCCCCGGGAAGGCUGUGUCCUGGGGGGAGCAGCCGCUGCUCGGGGUAAGGGGUUGGAAGCCCACCCUGGUGACGUUCCGUGGGGAUGAUGAAGGUCCCUUCGAGGCUCCCGCUGCUCCGGGUACCAGGGAAAGCAUCACCAGCUCUGCCCAGCAGGACCUGGCUCCGGCAAACCUGCAGGAGAUGGGGAACGGUGCUCAGGGGUGUCCUGGGAAGCCCAGCAGGAAAUGGGGAUGGAACCCCCAAAACCAAACCUUCCCUUCCCAGCUGGUGCAAGGGGAUGGAGCAGAGCUGUGAGAAUGCUGGUGGCUGUCCCCAGUGCAGGGACACGGCCAGGUCCCCCCAAGAGCGUCCCGGGCCGAGGCUCCUCCCCAGCUCUCAGCAUGGAGAACUUCAUCCCUCCCUCUCCCCUUGGCUGUUCCUUCCCAACCACAUCACAUGCCAGGCCAGCUUUAAGCAAAAUAAACCCCGUUGCCACAGUUACCCAGAGCAGGGAUGCUAAAUAUACAGGAUAUAGAUAUUUUUAUAUAUAUUUAACUGCCAUGCACAGAGCCCGAGAAAGGGACACGCUCCCCCACGGGAUCUGAGCCCUGCAGGCCCCAGUGUGGCUCCCAGAUGGGCACAGAUCCCUCUGUGGCCUGGAUUCCUGCCCGGAUUCGCCCCUCUGGGCUCACCUGAACCCACCUGGUGGCUUUGUCUGUGUCGCUGUCACCCUGUGUGGCACAGCCAGACCUCCUCUCCUGCGCUGCGAGCAUCCCCAAAUCGCAGCUCCUGGUCCUGCCAUCAGCUCCUCCUGCCCUGCCAGCACUCAGCAGAAGGAUGUCACCCAUGGAAACUUGAAGCCAGGCGUUCCCAGGGAUUCACUCUGCCUACUCUCCGCAGUGGUUGGGGAGGAAAAUUCCAUCUUUGAUAGUAAAAAGUGGAUAAUUAGCGGGUUUUGCACCGCCCACAAGAUCCCAGCGCUAAUAGGGGGAGCUGGCAGGAAGGGAGAACUCGCUCCACCAUGAGGAAUGUGGCUGAGGCACCCCUGGGUGAGGUUCAUCGGCACUCAGACCCCCAGGAGGGAAGGGAAGGAUCCCCCAGAGGAUCCGUGAGUGGCAGUGGGGCCGGCCCAGCAUGGGGAGCGUUCCCUGCUGAUGAGCAAAUCCUCCUUUUUCCUCCCCGCCAGGAAUUCCGGGUUGGCUCAGUGGCGUUGCAGCCAUCCCAACUGUCCCCCUCCCUCCCCAAAUCUCGGACAGGUUUAGCAGGUGCCAGCCCAGCACCAAUCCCAGGGAUUUUCCUCACAAAUAGGAUGAAUUAACCCCAGCGCACAUUUGCAUCCACACCUUGAUUUUCCUUGUCGGAUGCUCGGGAGCUUCCUCCCUGUUCCAGGUGAUUCGGGGGUGCUGGGGUGGGACAGAGAGGCUCAGAUCUCCUUCCUCCUCCUCACCUGGGUCCUGGAAGGAGAAUCAGCAUCCCCUGGGCCAGCCUCAGCAACUCCCUUGGGAUCAGCCACUGGGAUUCAGCGGGGUCCCGGGGCAGGGGGAAGAUGGAGGUGGCAGGGGAGGGGGUGCCCAGACCCCCACCCCACACCGGGAGCACCCAGCCGGGUCCUUCCCCACCUCCCCGAGCCCCUCCCCAUUGCUCCUCACCCUGGGGGGCUCAGGAGAGCAGAGAGGGGGAGAUGGGAAAGGGUUUGGUGCUGGAAAGUGGGGGGACAAGGAUAAAACACACACAUCCCCCCCAGCUGUGCUCCAAAAACCCUUCAGCACCCCCGGGCAGGCUGUGACCCAGCCGGGGGGCGCUGCCAGGGACCCCCCCUGCCCCCCAGGCCCUGCCGUGAGGGUGGGCACGGCGGGGACGAGCACUCACGGUUCCCGGGGGGGAUGCAGGACGAUGUCCCCAGGCUGGGAGCGGUGCGGGAUUCACCGCUGCGAAGGAAAAAACUCCCAAGUGGCGGUAGGAAAUCGGCAGGAAAGGGGGAAGAGGGAGGGAUAACGGGAUACCCGACGGGAGAGCGCCUGGCCGGGGCUCGGGGCAGCAUCUUCCUCACCUGCGGCACCGGCGACACCGGGAGGGGCUCCAGCAGCGCCAGAACAGCAUCGAACCCCCUCCUCAGCCUCCUCACCCACCCCCCAAACUGCGGAGGGCCCCCGGAGAAUGCAGCGAUGCUCCCGGGAGCAUCAUCGACCCCCGGCGCCCCCUCCCCACCAACCCCCGGGGGGAGGACGAGCUUUGCCCCCCGCCCCGGGACCCCUCCGGAGCCCUCGGGAGCCGCUCGGUCCAUCCGUGGCUCCGGAGCCCCGCGGGACAAAAGGGGCGGAAAAAGCCGCGGGAAAUGAUGCGGCGGUGACGCGUCCCGGUGUGACGUCACGGCGGGUUUUUGGGGUGUGACGUCACGGCGCGGCAGCAAGCAAGCACCUGGCUAAGAGCCGCCUCUUCAUCGCUG
rnacentral:lncRNA from 1 species